CCUACGGGAGGCAGCAGUGAGGAAUAUUGGUCAAUGGAGGCAACUCUGAACCAGCCAUGCCGCGUGCAGGAAGACGGUCCUAUGGAUUGUAAACUGCUUUUAUUUAGGAAUAAACCCCCGGUCGUGCACCGGGCUGAAUGUACUAAAAGAAUAAGCACCGGCUAACUCCGUGCCAGCAGCCGCGGUAAUACGGAGGGUGCAAGCGUUAUCCGGAAUCAUUGGGUUUAAAGGGUCCGCAGGCGGGUAAAUAAGUCAGAGGUGAAAUCCGGCAGCUCAACUGUCGCACUGCCUUUGAUACUGUUUAUCUUGAAUUUUAGUGGAGUGGGCGGAAUAUGUCAUGUAGCGGUGAAAUGCUUAGAUAUGACGUGGAACACCGAUAGCGAAGGCAGCUCACUAACUAUGAAUUGACGCUCAUGGACGAAAGCGUGGGUAGCAAACAGGAUUAGAUACCCUGGUAGUCCACGCCGUAAACGAUGAUUACUCGUUGUUGGGUCUUCGGACUCAGUGACUAAGCGAAAGUGAUAAGUAAUCCACCUGGGGAGUACGAUCGCAAGGUUGAAACUCAAAUGAAUUGACGG
rnacentral:rRNA from 1 species